rnacentral:lncRNA from 1 species
UAAGCUUUGUCGUCUCCCGACGCGUUCCAAGAUUUCAACUAAAAAUAGGAAUGUUGUGAAUCGGUUUAAAAUGUUUUGCCCGAGCCCUUGUGAGCGUUAUCAACUGAAAGAAAUUUGAGUUAUUUGGUUUUCACAUUCGCGUUGUGAAUCGAUCUCGUUAGAUAGCAAAUCAAACAUUUUGUUAGAUUUUUUAAUAAGGCUUGGCAAACAGGGACGCUGGUCGUUCAAUCCGAAACUAAGAGACCUGCUAUAUUUCAUAACACAUCGUCUGUCAAAAUACCUCUUCAUUUAUUCAGCGAAUCAGCCAUGAUAUAAUCACAUGUGAGAAAGCAACGCAUUAGAAAAGAACCGAAAGCAAUAAGCACAAGAAAACAUUAUCAAUUAUGUGACAAAAUCACAGAAAUUUAGUGCCAUUAGGGGAAAGGAAAAAAAAAGAAAAACAAAAACAAAAGCAUAAACAGUUUUCAGUUUAGUUUUGAUCAAAACCACUCAAACCGAAGUUCCCAAGCUUUUUCUGCUGUACGGCCAAGGCGGAUUACGGUACAGCAGCCAUAACGCAGCAGUUGGAGUCCCAUACCGUCUCGAAAAGAGCGGAAGACUGAGAUUCAGAGGAAGCCUAUAAAAAGGUAGCCAACGAAGGUAAAAGGGUUAGCAUUUUUAAGAUAAAAGAGAAAACCACAAAAAAGCCAUAAGACCUGUGGCAAGCGUUCCCCGAACCUUCAUAUCUGACUUGAGCGUCGGAGGGUUUGCGCCGGGAGAACAACCGGCGUACUCUGACUUGUCUGUGUGUGCAGGGACAUCCGGAGAAGAAGCAUUACUAGGAGACCUCCUGGUCGUGGUAGAGUUGAUCGAGCAGGGAUCCUGGUCGUAGAACGAGGAGAACCGGAAUCUCGCAUCAACAUGUGUUAUCUUUUAGUUGUUUAUGUCGUGAUCAUUAUCCUGUAUCUUACAACCUUCCAUCUUUGAUGACUAAUAAAUUUCAAACAAAAAGACUCCUAUAAUUCCUUUUAGUUCAACAAAAUGUACUUUAUAAAUGACACGACCCGCCCCAACCUAUAUGUCGGAUCCGAGGCGAAUUAUGUGGGUUAAUAACUAAAACUCAUAGCACAAAUUUAAUUCAUGAAAAUAUAUAUAUAAAUGAUUUCUAAUAUAAGCACAUAACAACUUCUGUGUCUCGUACGAAAAUACCCAUUCAAAACUUGCUAAAAUUAUAUAUAUAUAUAUAAAAUAAUAAUAAUAAGCAACAUAAACGUGCUCAAAAUGCAAGACAUUCAGUAAUGCGUCUCGUGGCUCAAUCUCGAUUGUCUAGAACUGAUAUGCACGAAAUCGUGUGAAAUCCCGAGAGAAAAGGGAUAAAUAAGAAAAUAAUGAGCUUGCAGCUCAGUGAGUGGAUGUAAUUAUAUAUAUUAUAAUAAUAAUAAUAAUAAAGUAGUGAACUAGUGCUUAUAUAUAAUCAUGUGACAUAACUCCACAUUGAAUAUCACACAUCAACAAACAUGGAAUUUAUGUAUACAUACAUGACAAAACUGCACCCAAUAGUACCUAGGGGAAAAUAUCUCUCAAUACUCGUCGGGAUCAUCAUCACCCGAGUAAAACAGGGAAAAGCCUCUCAAUACCCAGUGUAAUUAAACUAUCUCGUACGGGUGGAGUAACAUAACUCUUAAUACGCAUGCGCAGAGUCUACGGGAAAGGGUACAUAUGUGGUGACUCAUAAUCACAUCUCAUAACUUAAUCAAACAUCUAAUAUGCAUACAUGUAAUCAUAACAUGGUAUUAAAUCAUAAUAUCAAACAUAAAUGUUGCACAUAAUAUAUAAUAGUAAUAAUAGUAUCCACUCACAUAUCCUGCUUCAAUCCAGGGUUUGUUGGGGCUCUUAUGGUUUUAUGGAUUCUUGAAUUUCUCCUAAAAUACAGUAUUAAAAAAUUAACAGUUAGAAGUGAUAUAAAAACUUAUACGUAGGAGGUAAAUUAAAUUAUAACUAUUUAAAUUUCAUAAAUCCAUUACCCACUGAUCCUGUGGAUAUAAUUCUAACUAUCCAAUUUCAAUUCCGAUAUUUUUAUUAUUUAUUUUUCUUUUCCUUCACACUCUGUCUUUCUUUCCUUUCUUCUUAUUUCUUUUCUUUUCUUUUUCUUCUUUUUUUUUCUUCUCUUUUCUCUCGGUUUCCUUUCUUUUUAGCUCUCGGUGCUCCUAUUGAUAAAAUCAGGCAACUGUCAAAAUUUAUAUAUAAACAUUAACACUGCCUCAAGCAAGCAAGUGGAACGUGCACGGCAAGCAAGAAGUGAAGCCGACAUGUGGAGAAGCGGUGAAGCAGGCAGCUGAAAUGAUGAAGCAUGCAGCUUGGUCGCGCAAAAUUAAUGACCCAUGCUGGCUGUUUUUUUUUUUUUUUCCAAGCAAUGCAUGACAAUAAAUCACCAAGUAUGAACGUAUCCAAGAAACACAAUAGCUAGUCAGUCAAACAAGAAACAUGAUAUCUGAUUGACGAAACGGAAACAUUGAAAGUAGAUUAAUAGAAGAAACAAGGUUUUUAAAUAAUGAGUUUAUUUAAAUAAUGAGUUUAUUGAAUGAUUCUCAAUAAUACAAAAGAAGGGUUCUAGGUGUUGAAAAUGUUAAAUAAGGAGUGCUUCUUUUCAAUUCGGUGGCACACAAAAUUGACAAAGAUGGAUGGCUUGAGUUCUAAAAAAAAAAAUCCUAGAAGAAUAAGAAAAAAUCCUAAAACUCAAAAACAGCCAAAAAAAAAAAGUAGAAUUUUCAGCUUGACCUCAGGAUAAAAUGACACGAACUAUUUUGUUUUAGAUUCAUCUGAUCGCAAGUUUCAAAAUGAUAUAUUAUACAUUGGAAACAAACAACUAUAGUCCAAAUUAUGACCUCCAGAGGAUACUCCACUCGUAAUACACACCCAUCAUACAUCAUUGAUGCCUAGAUUAAAAAGGAGAUGAAGUCAUUUGGGUUAUUUUGGCUAGAUUCACACCAGAGAGGCGCAGAGUGUUGAAACGUCAUGCACGUGACAUUCAAAUUCAAAAAUGCAUGCAAAAUUUCAAAUGGCUACCAAACAUUUGAAGAAAAAAUGGAAAGUUGGCAAAUUUGUCAAAUUUGCCAAAUUUGCCAAAUGACUAUUUGCUUAGGUUAGGUGGAAUAAUAAAGGGAUUGGUGCAAUAGUGUCAUUGUUUUCCCUAUAAAUAGAUGGCACUUCUUCCAUUCUUUUGUAUCCCAAAAUUGUUAAGCUUAUAAGUUUCUAAGCUUUUGAGAGAAGUGAGAGAAGUGUGUUUAGGAAAUUUAUCUUUCCUGCAGAGUGUGAGAGUACUAGGUAUAUUUGGGUUUCUGGGAAGUGAGAUUCGUUACUCAAAUAUUUGUACUCUAUUAAUUGUUAAAAAAAUAAUUAUUCUUUCUUGCCUCUGUGGAUGUAGGUUUAAUUACCGAACCACAUAAUUCUUGUGUCCUUUAUUUUUUUAUAAUUAUUUGGUGCGCUUGAUUCCGCAUUCUGCGCACAACGUUCUUGUCCAGUUUCCUGGGAACUUUCCUGGUGCAUUUAUUCACGCGAAAUUAAAAUCAUAGAGACUGUUUUUCAAGUGGAAAUAGUUCGUUGAAAAAAUAGUAGAAGGUGAAACUUCCAGAAUUAGGAAGAGAUUUACCGACACUAUUUCAGGAGACACUUCAGGUGGGAGGCGAGAUUUAUCAAAUCGCUAUUCAGCACCUAUUAUAGGAGGCCAGAAGAUCAAUGUUGAAAAGUUUGAUAGGAAAAUCAACUUCGGCAUGUGGAGGCGCGAAGUUAUGGAUGCCCUCAUUCAAAUUGAUCUCGAUGUUGUUCUGAAAAAUAAAAGACACUUGUAUGAUGAAGAAAUUUGGGAUUGUUAGCGUGCAAUUUAUGCACUAGUUUUGCAUUGUUUACUUCCCUUAAUAUCUAUGUUUUGCACUUAAUAAUAGUGAUUUACUUGUGUUUUACUUUUGUAGGUACAAUUCUAUUGAUUGGUGAUAAAAUUGAGCUAUAAGAUGAUGUUUAAGGAUGAUUGUUCUCUUGGAGAAAUUAUAAGUGUCAGAAGAACUUUGUUGAUAAGGCGUGGGCGCGUGCUGUCAACUACGAACCUGCAGUUUUAAUUUAACGUAUUUUAUAUUUUUGGUUAUUUUUGUAAUUACGAAUUUAAUAUUUUAGAUAUUAGUAUUUUAUUUUAAAUAGAACUCUAAAAGAGAAGAGAGAGAGAGUAUUUAAGGGAGGAAUCUAUUGUGAAAAAUGGGGAUUGGAGAAAAAGAAAGAAACCCUAAAUCUAAUUUUUCUCUUCUCUCUAUGAAGAACUAAACUUAUUUUUUCUGGUUGAAGGUUAAUGAAGCUUUGAUUUAUCACUACUGUGAGAUCUUUCUUAUGCUUUAAUUGUUUUAUUACUUUUUGGGUAUUUGUUUAUUCUCUGAAUUAGUUUCAUGAUUAUGUUUGUUAAUUAGGUAAUUGGCCACUAUUUAAUUAUCAACUUAAUCUAUUGUCAAUUAAAGGAUUCAUCGUAUGAAGAUUUUAAUGUUUGUGACAAAUAACAUAGCAGUGAGUUGUGUUAUGAGAAUAAACAAUCUAAUUUAAAUGAAUCAUCGUAUGUGUUGAUUAGGAUUUGGGUCUCUCUGGUUUUUCAGGCUAUCAAUUAAUUAAAUCAUAUGAUCGUAUCUAGGGUUGUGUAUUGAUUAGGGAAAUAACCAACGGUCGUACCUUGGUUAUCGACUAGUUAAGGAGAGAUUGGCUAUUAGAGGGUCUCAGUAGCUAUAACCGGUCUAUUCAUAAGUAAUAAUAAUCUAUAUUUAAAUCAAUGAUCAGUAGUCGAAUCAAGCUGAGUUAAUUCCUUCAACCAGAGCUUUCUCCAAUUUGAAAUAUUUGAAUCAAUGGCUAUUAGAGGGUCUCAGUAGCUAUAAUCGGUCUAUUCAUAAGUAAUAAUAAUUUAUAUUUGAAUCAAUGAUCAGUAGUCAAAUCAAGCUGAGUUAAUUCCUUCAACCAGAGCUUUCUUCAAUUUGAAUUACAACUUUAAUUUGCAUUCUUGUUAUUUUAAUUUGAUUCUUAUUAUUGUCAACAAUUCCCCUAUUUUAAGUUUUACGUUUCAAAAGGAUUUAAAUAAUUACCGAUCUCUGUGGACACGACCCUGCUCAAUCAUUACACAUAAUUUAUUUAGAGUAGGAAUUUAUUUUUGUUGGCUUCGACAACCAUCAGGGAUCGUAUGAAUGAAAAAGCAUGUGGUCAGAUCAGAUCUUGUUUGACCAAGGAGGUGAAAUACUUGGUGAAAGAUGAGGAGUGUGCGGUGACUUUGUGGCGUACAUUGGAGGAGAAGUACCUGGUGAAAAGUCCUGAAAAUCACCUUCAUGUAAUGAGCCAAGUAUAUGGUUUUCGAAUGAAGCCUGGGGUGUCAAUGCACAAUCAUGUUUCAAGAUUUGAAAAGUUACUUGCUGAUUUGAAGAAUCUUGAUGAAGAUAUUAAGGAUGAAAUUAAGGCUAUGAUUUUGUUACACUCACUACCAGAUGAAUAUAGCCAUUUUGUGAUUACUUUGAUAUAUGGGAAUGGUGUGAUCGUCUUUAAAGAUGUUUGCACAACAUUGACUAGCUUAGAGAUUUGGAAUAAUGAUAAAAAUUCUGAACGAGUAUCAUCUGAAGGUUUGGUGAGCAGAGAUUGGGCGAUGGAGAAACAGAAGAAGCGUGGUGGAAAGAAUUCUCGAUCCAAAUCGAGAAGCAGAAAUAUAGCUCGAGACGAGUGUGCCUUUUGUCAUGAAAAGGGUCAUUCGAGGAAAGAUUGUCCAAAGGCUCAAAAAAGAGAUGAGAAGAAACCUACAGCAGCAAACAUGGCACGGAAAGAUGAGGGCUCUGAUUAUUCACUAAGUAUUACUCCUGCAGCAUACGUGGCUAGUUCGAGCGAGUGGAUACUUGAUACUGGAGCAACUUAUCAUUUGUGUCCUAUUAAGGAAUGGUUUACGGAUUUUCGUAAUCUGGAAUCUGGUGCAGUUGUGAUGGGAAAUAAUCAACCUUGUCACACAAUGGGGAUAGGAACAAUUCGGCUCAAAAUGUUUGAUGGAAUGGUCAGAGAACUCAAAGAGGUUAGAUUUGUUCCAGCUUUAAAGAAAAAUCUAAUUUCCGUGGGUGCUUUGGAAGCUAAAGGCUACAAGGUUACCAUUGAAGAUGGCACAAUGAAGUUUACACAUGGGGCUAUGGUGAUUCUGUAAGGGGUUCGGCAGAGAGAAGUCUUUGUAAACUCUGAUGAGGCAUGGACUCUUAAAAGGUACCAAAACCUGUAAAUUAAAUUUCUGUGAGCAUUGUGUAGUAGACAAGAAAACAAGGGUCAAGUUUGGUACAGCUAAUCACGAUACUCGUGAGAUCCUUGAAUAUGUUCAUAGUGAUGUAUGGGGACCAACCAAGACUGCAUCAAUUGGUGGAAGCCAUUAUUUUGUUACAUUUGUUGAUGAUUUCUCUAGACGUGUGUGGGUGUACACCAUGCGAGCAAAGGAUGAGGUUCUAGAGAUUUUCGUGAAAUGGAAAAAAUUAGUGGAGACUCAAACUAGCAGAAAGAUCAAAGUAUUACGAUCUGAUAAUGAGGGUGAUUAUACUUCUAAUCCAUUCUUGCAAGUAUGUCAGAACGAGUGUAUUAAAAGACAUUUUACGGUGAGACAUACUCCGUAACAGAACGGUGUGGCUGAGCGUAUGAAUCGUACUUUACUGGAGAAAGUACGGUGUAUGUUAUCUAAUGCUGGUUUAAAUAAAAAGUUUUGGGCUAAAACUGUGAGCUACGCAAGUCACUUGGUAAACCAGUUGCCUUCUGCUGCAAUUAGAGGUAAAACUCCUAUGGAAAUGUGGUCUAGAAAGUAUGCACAAGACUAGAUUCCUUUCGUGUAUUCGGGUGUCCAGCUUAUUAUCAUGUCAAAGAUGGUAAACUGGAUCCUCGUGCUAGAAAAACUAUUUUUGUAGGAUUCAAAGGUGAAGUAAAGGGCUUCAAGCUUUGGGAUCUCAAAGACAAAAAAUUUGUGUGUAGUAGAGAUGUCACAUUUAAUGAAGCUUCAAUGAUGAAAGCUUCAAGUUCUCAACAGGUGGAGAACAAGACCAAAGAGGUAUUGCAGCGGGUGGAGUUUGAUGCAACUCCAUAUGUAUCAGUUAGUUCUACAUCAAAGAAAGGUUCAACUAUGGAGGUGACACCUAGAGUUGAAGAAGAGGUUGUUUCUUCUGAUGUCCCACAAAAUGAAGAAACAACUGAUGAUGUAGAUAAUGAUAAUUUUAUAGCAACAAAGAGGCCAAAAAGAGAGAUAAAGAAACCCAGAUGACUUACUAAAGAUAUGGUGGUAGCCUAUGCACUUCUAGUUAUUGAUGAUGGCAUCCCCAACACUUUCGGUGAAGUAUUACGCAGCAGUGAAAUUGAUCAGUGGAAGUUAGCCAUGGAGGAAGAGAUGAAAUCUCUCCAUCAAAACUAGACUUGGGAACUUGUAAAGUCACCAAAGGGGAAAAGGGCUAUUGGCAAUAAAUGGGUCUACACCAAAAAGCAAGGAUCUCCGAAUCAAACAACUCCUCGAUACAAGGCAAGGCUCGUGGCAAAAGAUUUUGCUCAAAAGGAAGGUAUUGACUACAAUGAAGUUUUCUCUUCAGUUGUAAAACAUACUUGCAUUCGUAUCCUACUUGCCUUAGUUGCAGAAUAUGAGUUAGAGUUGGCUCAAUUAGAUGUUAAGACAGCGUUCUUACAUGGAGAUUUGGAAGAGGAAAUCUAUAUGAUUCAGCCUUGUGGUUUCAGAGUUGCUGGAAAGGAGAAUCAUGUGUGUAAGUUGAUUAAAUCUUUGUACGGACUGAAGCAAUCGCCAAGGCAAUGGUACAAAAGAUUUGAUCAAUUUAUACAAUGGCAGAAAUUCACCAGAAGUGAACACGAUCAUUGUGUUUACUUUAAAAGACUACCAGAUUGAGCUUUCAUCUAUUUGUUACUCUAUGUCGAUGAUAUGCUUAUAGCUUCGAAGAAUAGAGAUGAGAUCGAAAUAUUAAAGAAGCAGUUGGCUUCUGAGUUCGAGAUGAAAGACUUGGGUGAUGCACAGAGAAUACUUGGGAUAGAGAUUCGUAGAGACAAGAAGAAUGGGAGCGUAUGGUUGACUCAAGAGUCUUAUUUAAAGAAAGUGCUAGAAAGAUUCUGCAUGGAUGACAAAACUAAACCGGUAUGUACACCUCUAACUCCUUAUUUCAAAUUAAGCUCUUCUUCAUGUCCUAAAUCUCAAAAGGAGUGCGAUUACAUGGCUCGUGUUCCAGAUGCUAGUGCUGUGGGUAGUCUUAUGUAUGCUAUGGUAUGCACAAGGCCCGAUAUAUCUCAAGCAGUAAGCAUGGUUAGUAGAUACAUGCACAAUCCGGGUAAAAAUCAAUAGCUUGCGGUAAAGUGGCUUCUCCGAUAUCUGUAUGGGACAGUUGAUGUUGGGUUAUUGUUCAAGAAGGAUUGUGUUCAACAAUGUGUUAGGUAUUGUGAUUCUGAUUUCGCUGGAGACCUUGACAAGCGAAGAUCAACAACGGGCUACGUAUUCAUAUUGGGUGGAGGUUUGGUUAGCUGGAGGUUGAUUCUACAAUCGACAAUUGCUCUGUCCACUACGGAAGCAGAGUAUAUGGCAGCAACGAAAGCUGUAAAAGAAGUUAUCUGGUUGAAAGGCUUGUUAGGUGAUUUGGGGGUAAUCUAGGAGAACAUUGCGGUCUUCUGUGAUAAUCAAAGUGCGAUAUUCCUUGCGAAGAAUCAAACAUAUCACGCUCGGACGAAGCACAUAGAUGUGAAAUAUCAUUAUGUGAGAGAGAUUAUCGAGAGCGGUGUUGUGUUGUUGAGAAAGAUCGAUACCAAAGAUAAUUCAUCAGAUAUGUUGACGAAAGUAGUUUCUGGAGUUAAGUUUCAACAUUGCUUGAAAUUAAUUCAAAUCCUUCGAUUGUGUUAAGAUACGUCCUUCGGGAAUUAUGAACUACGGUUGGCUUGAUCCCAAAUUUUGGGUACGUAGGCAGUCGAAUCGACACAGCCAUUCUGGAUCCUUAUUGAAGGAUCACUUUGGGGAUGAGGGUUCGUUGGUAGUCGGCUCAGAUUUGGACAAAUUUUCGCUGAGGUGGAGAAUUGUUGAAAAGUCAUGCACGUGACAUUCAAAUUCAAAAAUGCAUGCAAAAUUUCAAAUGGCUACCAAACAUUUGAAGAAAAAAUGGAAAGUUGGCAAAUUUGUCAAAUUUGCCAAAUUUGCCAAAUGGACACCAUUGACUAUUUGCUUAGGUUAGGUGGAAUAGUAAAGGGGUUGGUGCAAUAGUGCCAUUGUUUUUCCUAUAAAUAGAUGGCACUUCUUCCAUUCUUUUGUAUCCCAAAAUUGUUAAGCUUAUAAGUUUCUAAGCUUUUGAGAGAAGUGAGAGAAGUGUGUCCGGGGAAUUUAUCUUUCCUGCAGAGUGUGAGAGUACUGGGUAUAUUUGGGUUUCUGAGAAGUGAGAUUCGUUACUCAAAUAUUUGUACUCUAUUAAUUGUUAAAUAAACAAUUAUUCUUUCUUGCCUCCGUGGAUGUAGGUUUAAUUACCGAACCACGUAAUUCUUGUGUCAUUUAUUUUUCCAUAAUUAUUUGGUAUUCUUGAUUCCGCAUUCCGCGCACAACACAUAGUUAAUUGGUAUCGUUUUCCUUCUUGUUCUUCCCCAUCAAUCGCUUACUGUGAGGAAUUGGAACACGGCACGGCAGUCCAUAAAGAACGUAUCUUUUUGAAAAGCUGUUGGCCAUAGAACAUGUGGAACAAAAUUGUUCCAUUAUUAUCAGGGUAAAAGCUUGUUUAGUCCCUAUAUUAUGAGGUUAAUGUCCAUUUAGUCCCUGUAUUUUUAAAAACACCUCAAAACAUCCCUGCUACUAAAUAUUGACCCUUAUGCCAUUAUUUUUUAUUAUUUUUAACUUGCUUUUACAAUAUUACAUUUUUACAAUAAUGUUUCUUUUUUGGAUAUUAAUAAAAAAUUAAAUUAUCAAAUUAAACUCAAAAAUAAAAUAAAAACAAAAAAGGUAUAUAUUAAUUUUUGUGGAAGCUCACGUAUGUCUAAAAAAUUAAUAUCGUAAAAAAUUACAUUAUCAAUUUUUUUAGAAAAAUUAAUAUUUUAUCUCAAGAGUGUGUUCCACAAAAAUUAAUAUAUAUUAUUUUUUGGUGUUAAACUGGUAAUUUAUUUUUUUCUUUUUAAUAAUGUCUAAAAAAAUUAUUAUAAUAGGGUUAUUUUUUUCUUUUUAAUAAUAUCUAAAAAAUUAUUAUAAUAGGGCAAUAUUAUAAAAAUAAGUUAAAAGGAACAAAAGAUAAUGGCAAAAGUGUCAAUAAUUUAAUGGUAGGGAUGAUUUGAGGUAUUUUUAAAAAUAUAGGGACUAAACGGGUACUAACUUCAAAAUAUAGGGACUAAACGAGCUUUUACCCUUAUUAUCAAGUAAUUGAAACCGAUCACCAUCCAGGUGGACUCGUUAAAAAUGGAAAUUUCAUUGAAUCAAAAGUUCAAAGAAAAUCAUGCUCCUGUUGAUAUCAAAGAUCUACCAAGAAUAAAUGGGAAAUAUUUGAAGUAUAUGGUCACCAGUUAAGGGGGUCUGACCGGCACCCCAGUAGGAGAGGAAAUAAAUGGCAGGGCCCUAGGCACCUAGCUGUUAUUUAUUUAUUUUUUAUUUUUUAUUAUUAUUCAUCGCUAAUUAUAUUAAAUUAAGGAUGAGAUAAAAAAAAAAACAUAGAUUCUAAUUUAAUAUAUUUUGUCAUGUGGUAUAUUUUGUAACCGUACGUAACAUUCACGGUGAUGAAGCUGGCUCCAAGGCACUGUUGUUGGAUCUGUGAAUUAAUUCAUUGCUUUUCUUGUUUGAUUCUUCAAAAUAUUUUUUGGGUUCUUUUUUAUGUAAGAGGGUUUUCACACGUUGGUACUGAAUGUUAUUGAAAUGUUUAAAUCGAUUUCUAAAAAUAGGAAUCAAAACAUUUGUAUUUUUAAAGAGAAAAUAGAAAUAAAAUCUUUAUAGCUUCACAGUUGUUCAAAAAUAUUUUUUAAUAUCAAAAAUUUUUUAGAUCUUCUUUGAUAUUGAGGUGCAAUACUAUAACUACAAUUGCUAUAACAAAUUAAAGUGAGGAUAUUUAGUAAAUCACUAGUUGUAAAAGAUUAAGAUAUUUUUAAAAAUAAUAAUUAAAAUUCAAUAAAUUUACAUUGAAAACAAAAUAGAGAGAAUAUCGGAGCUGGGCUUUUAAGAGACAGAGAUGAUGACAAAAGAAUAAAAAGAUUGAUGCUAUCAGCACUCCUCCAAUAUGCUGAGGAAACCCCUUCUUUGGAAUUAUAAUUUUAUCCAUGUGCAAAAUUACAUGAUACGCCCACAAUUUCAUCAUGUCUUGUGCAAACUUUCACACCCACGAGUUGCCGACUUCAUAUUACGAACUUUUGGCACCCACAUGUAGAAUACUGCCCUUUUUUUUUCUUUUUAACAAUUCAAAAUAGUGGAAGAAGUGGGAGGAACUUGUUAUUGCAUGUGUUCAAGAAUUCAAUUUUUAUUUAUAUUUUAUUCAUGUUUUGUUGUCACAUUUGUGAAGAACAAAUUACCCAUCAUUGUCUUGCUACUUCAACUACGACUGUCAUAGUUUUCAAAAUUCAUUAGAUUAUUAUUGGUGCAUAAUUUGUGCCGUUGUUGAUUACUGCAUUCAGUUUUUUUUUUUUCCUCCUUCGAGAAUUCAUCUUAUUUUGAAUUUUAUCAACUUUCUCCAUUAUUUUUCUUUGAUCUGCAAUUGAAAUUGUCUUGGUUUGGCAACAAUGCAGAGUUUCCUUUCCUUUUCGUAUUGCUAACCUUCUUGCUCGUGAAUCACAUCCCCCCCCCCCCCCUUUUUNNNNNNNNNNNNNNNNNNNNNNNNNNNNNNNNNNNNNNNNNNNNNNNNNNNNNNNNNNNNNNNNNNNNNCCCCCUUUUUUUGGCGAAUUCAAGAAAACAAUUGUAAAAUUCAGCUUCUUUUCUUUAAUUAAUCACCGUCAUCUUGUACUUCUAAAGUUACAGGGUAUUUAUGGAAUAAGAUAGGUAUGAUUAGAGAGAAGGAAAUGAAUAUAAAAUGAUUUAGGAAUGAUGAAAUUUUAUGGGGUUAAAAAUUAAAAAAAAAAGUAUUUAAUGUUUUUGCAUUUAAAAGAUCGUGUGCAUAGUAAAAUUUACUUUUUUUUUAUAAAUUAAAUGAGUGAAUUCAUUUUAAUAUUGUAAUGGGUAUAAAAAAAAAGGGAUGUUGAGCGGACUUCACUGGUUCCACUAAAAAAAGAGUUUAACUAUUAGCUCUCUUUCAAAUACCUCUUAAAACCCCCUUUGUUUUUAUUACCCAUUAAAUUGCAUAAAGAUUAUAAAGCUCCUCAUCAAAUCCCUUCAAUUCCAAUAAUAACCACGAUUUCUUAUUGAGUAAACCCCUUAAAUGUUAUCCCCCUCUCCCAUCUUGUCGUUUGUUUCUGUCUCUUCAGAUUUUCCUUGUAUCUUCUUCUCUCUCAUUCUCUCCAUCGGCCACUACCUUAUGAUGAUAAACAAAUUAAACCUAAUAAAUUGAUUAAUUUUCUGCAUUGAUAUUUUAGAAUUGCGGGAAAUAAAACUUUAUAAAUUCUAAAAAACGCUUAAGAUCUGGUGAGGAUGGUGAAGCAGCUUGGUGUCAUAAACCGAGAACAAAGAUGCUUGCUUAGCCAAAGCCAUAAUGCCACAGACAGGUGAUAAGACCAGCAUCGAUUUAUCAAAAUAGGAACACUAGCAUCGAUGCUUGGAUUAUCAAGGGAAAAAAAAAAGGAAAAAGGCAAAAACUAUGCCCUUAAAAUCAUAUAUAUUAAACUAACUUGUUUCAUUAGUUAUUACCUAUGUUCAUCAGUAGUAUAAGGGGGGAAUUGAAUAGAACUGGUAGGGCAUAUUCAUUUUUAAUAAAUAAUGCCUCGUAAGCUGCAUAUUGGAGACAAAAGGAGGGAGUUUACUGGUCUAAUUUGUGUGAUUACUAAUAAUACUCCCACAUUUGGAUUGCUAAUUGGUUUUUACUAGUCCAAUUAAAAAAAAAUCCCAAAUUCAUAAGAUAAGUUGUCUCAUGUGGGCAUACGCAAAAAUCAGCACAACGUGCAUAAUAUGAGUUGGGUUAAUAAGUGCUUCCAACUCAGGUAAAUUAAUUUUUACCAACCCACAAUAAUUACGCGUUGAGUUGGGUUGAAAAAUUUUAAUUCAAUCCAUCAAUCCACACAAUUAGUAAUAAUAACAUUUUUAAUAUUUCAUUACUAAUUACUUAUUCAAAUAAUAAUGAAUUAUUAUAUAGGAUUUGAUCAAAAUUAAAAGUUUAAUGUUUAGUUUUUAACGAGGCUUUGAACUUCUAGAUUUAUUUUUUAACAUUAUGUUAGUGUAAUGGAUUAUGAUGUAUGAUAGAUGUUAUUUUACACGUGUUUUAUUUUUAGUUAUUUCUAUUAAUCAAUUAAUUUUUUUGAUUUUGAGAUUGAACAAAACAGAGAACUAAAAAGAGUCUUUCGGGUAAGCCCAACUUGACUUGACUAAACGUGCACUUACGCGAUUUAAGUAAAUUUCUCUUCCCUCUUCCAAAUUCUAAGAAUAAAAAACCAAGAAACGUUAAUUUAUUAUAAAUUAUAAUUUAAUAAAUUGAAUAAAGUGCCUUUGCAAAUCUUUGUUGAUGUCGUUUUCGUCCUCCUUUUUCUUCCCAUUCACAACUCCAUUCCCCUGCAAAAAUAUGCCUUUAGUAAUCUCGCUUUGAUGCUCCUUCCGCUUCCCAUUCACAAAUCCAUUUUCCUGCAAAACAUUGCCACAAGCUUAAUUAGAAAUAUCAGAACAUCUGAUUUGAAAAGCUUCUCAACUUCCCUGCAAACUCCUCCAUUAUUUUCUCUCUAUCCCUCAAUUUAUUUUGCCAUUCAUCAGGUUAUUGUUAACUUAUUUUUUGUUUUCCCUUAAUACAAAAUUAAUUAGACUAUGCAUGGUUCUCUAAUCUUUUUUUUCAAAUUAAUUACGUUAUUCGUAAUAAUAAUAUGGGUGUAUUAGUUUCUAAUGACCAGGUCAAUAAUAUCAUUGGAUCAUUCAAGUGAUAAAGAGCAGGAAGAACUCAUUAAAGUGGGGAUGAAAGUUAAUUCUGACGAAGAAGCAUAUAAUUUAUACAAUAAUUAUGCUUUGAGAAAAGACUUUAGUAUCCGCAGAUGGAACAUUCAAAGAGAUACAUCAAAUAAAAUUCAGCAAUGUGAAUUUAUUAAUUUGUUCGAAACAAGGAUUUCAAUUAGAUGAAAACUCAUAUAAGGCGAAGAAGGUUAAUCACUUGGAAACAAGAAUAGAUUGUAAAGCUAUGAUUCGAUCUACUGUCAAUGAUGAAGAGUGGAUAAUUCCUCAUAUAUUCUCAUAUCAUAACCAUGAACUUGCAAACCUGAAGAAAGGCAAUUUCUAAAAUCUAGCUGAAAAAUACCUAGUGCUCAUGGGGCUGUAAUAAGGUCUAUUCUAUGGGUAAUGUGGGAUAAGAGCGUCGAAGUCAUGCUCCAAUUUAGCAAAUGAAGUUGGUGGGGCUAAGAAUCUCAACUUCUUAAAGAACAAAAAAACAAGGAUAAGAUGAUUGAAACAAAUCAAGCUUUGCUCAAUUAUUUAAACGAAGACAAUGUGAGGAUCCUUGCUUUGUUUAUUCAAUACAAGUUGAUCAAUAUAAUUGCAUGACGAAUUUUUUUGAGAGACAAUAGAUCAAAGUUAGAUUAUGAUUGAUUUGUUGAUGCUAUUUGUUUUUAUACUACAUUUUCCACUAACAAAUAUAAUUUAAUAUGUGCUCCAUUUGCGGGUGUUAAUCACCAUUCAAAGAAUGUAUUGUUUUGUUAUGCCUUUUUGUAUGAUGAGACCACAGAGUCAUUUAUUGGGUUGUUUGAGACAUUUCUGGAGGCAAUGGAAAACAAACAACCAAAAUGCAUUUUUACAGAUAAGGAUAAAGCAAUGUCAAAUGCAAAUGAAAUAGCAUGUCAGCGAUUGUGUAUUUGGCAUUUUGCUAAAAAUGCCACACAACAGCUUGCUACUUAUUAUACAAGACCUUAGUUCAAGCAAUAUUACAAGAAGUGCUUUUAUGGGUGUAGCAAUGCAACAGAAUUUAAAGCUUCUUGGGUUGAGAUGAUUAAAAAGUUCAAAUUAGAAGCGCAUUCAUGGCUCAAAAAGUUGUAUUCUCUUAAAGAGAAGUGGUGUCCAGCUUUUAGUUUGUGUACAUUUUCUACAAAUAUGAAGUCGUGAGAGUACAAAUAAUGUUUUUCAUCAAAUUUCAACAAAAACAAUGGAGCUCAUUAUAGUUGCUGAGCAUUAUGACAAUAAAGCAAACGAGAUAUGAUUAGAGGAGUUGCAAGAUGAAUAUAGUUACAUGAAUAUAGUUACAAGCAUGGCAUUUUUCAUCUCAUAAUAAAAAGUGAAAUUUUAAGCCAACAGUACAAACUUACACAAAUAAGAUGUUUGAUAUAUUUGAAAAAGAGUCUAUGGGUUGCAUGGCUGUGAGGAUGGAAGAAAUUUGUAAAAACGAUGAGGUUUAUGUAUAUAAAGCAAAUGAAGAAGGGCAACAAAGAGUAUUUAUUAUUGAUUAUAAUUCAACCACUAUGGAUAUUUCAUGCUUAUUUAAGUUAUUUCACUCGAUGAGGAUAUUGUGUUGUCAUGCUCUAAAAGUUUUUUAUUUACAUAAUUUCACGAACCUACUAGAGUGUUACUUAUUAAAGAGGUGGACUAAAGAAGCAAAGAAAGGACUUAUAAUGGGAAAUGGUACUGCUAACUUAUCACGUAACAAUACCAAGUAUGGGCAAUUAUUACGCUUUAGUGAACUAAUGCAUGCAGGAACUGUAAUUUAUAGUAUAGUGUCAUUGAGUGUUUUCUUGAACAAUGAUUGUUAAAAAAACCGUUAGCCCAUACAAUGAAGCUUUUGGAGGGUGAUAUGAAAAUAAUGAGUAUAUUUGAGAAUUCAAAGAAAACAGAUGAUCGUUCCAAUCAUGAUGUUGUUCAUUCAUGAGAAAUUGGCUUUGAGUCCAGCAAAAGUAAAGACUAAAGGAUUGGCAGAUGCUAGAAUAAAAACUAAUUUGGAGAAGCAAAAAAGGAAAACUACAAAAGGUAGAAAUUUACUUUCUUUAUUUCUUUUUCUUUUUUUUUUUUUUGCAUAAAGAGGUCUAUGACUAAUUGCUCUUUAUAUAAACUUCAUUUGUUUGAAUAAGUAUCAUCUCUUAUGCAGGACAAUAGAAAAAUGUAUCUACUAGUGGUUCAUCACAUCCAACAACCAAGCAACAAUUUUCAGCAUUAAAUCCAUCGAUUCAUAACUUUAAGUUUUACUAGCCUCCUUCAAGGAAUUGAUCGAGCGCCUCAUUUAAACUAGGCAAUACUUGAAAAUCAUUAUACACACUUAAUCUCUAAAAUAGAGCAUAUUUAUCUAUAUAGCGUGGUCCAUCUUCAUAUUUGCCAACAGUUGUAUAUGGACAGUGGCCUCACUUAAGUCAUUUUUUUUUUCGCCUUUUGAAUUGAUUAUUUAAAUAACUAUCUAUAUGUUGUCUAAUAUACAAACAUACAAUGUAGGAUUAAAACAACUAUGGUGUGGAUCAAUUUGAACACCAAGAAAAUUGAAUGUUAUAUAACAUCAUUUUUUUUUAAACACAAUGGUAUGUGGUCUAUGUCUUCAGUUAGCAUAUUACUAUUGUUUAUAUUCAUUGGUUAAUAUUUUUACUUUUUUAACAUUGCACUGAUUCUUUUCCCUCUUUUUGCAUGUGUAGGUUGCCAAGGCAUUUACCGAAUAUAGCAAUAUGUGGAUUUACACAUUGGAGUGGUUAAAUUUAUAAUGUUGCUCUUGGUACAAGAAUCUUU